UAGCUUAGUGGUAGAGUAUUGGUAUGUAAAGUCAGGAGUCCGGGUUCGAUUCCCGG
rnacentral:tRNA from 1 species